UCAGCACUCUGGGACACUGGGAUGGACUGUUUUACAGGGGAGAGGCCGCUGCAUAUUUAUCCUUUCUCCUACAGAAAAAAAAUGGCACACUGAUGGACUACGGGACUUUCUCUAAGGACAAACACUUUUGGACGCUGAUGAUGUCGACCUGCAGAGUGUAUGAGUGUAAAGGCACCCCGAAGAGCCGUGUGUCUAAGAUCUUUUCAUCGAAGAAUGGGAAAACUUUAAAUGCGCAGAGUCUGAACAAGAUAUGGAGGAAGAAAACGACCGCCUGCGCGAGCUAUUUCCAAAACAACCUGGCAUGGAUGUGUGACAUGUUGGGACAGUGAUAAUCUGAUAUUUACUUUACUUUUCCUCCUCUUCUCUCCGUCUCCCGCAUCUUUCACUCUAGUCUUUUCCAAAGCCUCCUCAUCCAGUCUGGAGGGAUAAUAACUCCACUAUUCUAUUUGCAUUUGACUCUAGCAGUCACGGUUUCCAAAAUGGGCCCGUGAGUUUGUGGCACAGUUUGAUGCAGCACACUAAGCAUAGUUAAGUCCGACAAGUUACGCAACGAAUAAAGCAGGACUUUGCGAUCCAUCCAAAUGCAACUCAAUCGUGUUGUUUUAAAAUCAGUUAUGCAAAUUCUGACAGGGUGACCUCACACUGCUAAUACACUUUGUUAUUUGUGCUUAAGUGUUAAAUCCAACUUGAUCUGAGUUUGAAGUGUAUGUUCUUCUCUUCUCUUUCUCGCUCUGUCUUUUUUUUGGUGCUUUUCCUUUGUUUUUGUGUUUAGUGUAAAUGACUGUCAUGCUGCCUGUGUUUCGGGGUAAAUAAAGGCCUGAGGGUGACAUCUAUCAAAGGGUGAAAACCAUCCAAUGAACUGAGUAAAGCCGAGUCAAGUGUUUGGCUUUUUUUUUUUUUUAAUCACAGUGGGACUGUUUUGGUUUGGUUGUGGUGCAGAGAAAAUAGUUAUUGCUGGGUGUUUAGUGUGGUCUACCCUUUACACUCACUUGCCAAAACAUUAGGUACACUACUGAAAAUGAUGCUUUCUAAUAUAAGAGUUGUGCGCUACAUUUUCCACCACGACGAUGUUCCAUUUUUAUUUUUUAUUUUUUUUCAAAAAGUGUGAGAUAGUUGGUGAUUCGUGAUCAUUUUAGAGCAUCUAGUUUGAGGUACAGUUGAACUGGAUUGAAUUAGUCUCAAAAAUGUUUCUGCGUUUCUUCUGUUGAAUACCAUAACCUUCAUUAAUCUAACAUUUAGUGCAGCACUGUUAAAUUAGGAUGCAUUGUUUUCCACUAGUGUGCCUAAUGCAUAUCAAUUACUUGUAUACACCUCACAAUAAAGUCACAUCAUGAAUUA